AUACGUAGGGGGCGAGCGUUGUCCGGAAUGAUUGGGCGUAAAGGGCGCGUAGGCGGCCCGGUAAGUCUGGAGUGAAAGUCCUGUUUUUAAGAUGGGAAUUGCUUUGGAUACUGUCGGGCUUGAGUGCAGGAGAGGUAAGUGGAAUUCCCAGUGUAGCGGUGAAAUGCGUAGAGAUUGGGAGGAACACCAGUGGCGAAGGCGACUUACUGGACUGUAACUGACUCUGAGGCGCGAAAGUGUGGGGAGCAAACAGGAUUAGAUACCCUGGUAGUCCACACUGUAAACGAUGAAUGCUAGGUGUAGGGGGUAUCGACCCCUUCUGUGCCGCAGUCAACACAAUAAGCAUUCCGCCUGGGGAGUACGGCCGCAAGGUUGAAACUCAAAGGAAUUGACGGGG
rnacentral:rRNA from 1 species